GCCACGCCCGCUCAAGAAACUACGAAAGGAAUUGAGGGGGCCCCGCACAAGCGGUGGAGUAUGUGGUUUAAUUCGAUGCAACGCGAAGAACCUUACCAGGCCUUGACAUGCAGAGAACUUUCCAGAGAUGGAUUGGUGCCUUCGGGAACUCUGACACAGGUGCUGCAUGACUGUCGUCAGCUCGUGUCGUGAGAUGUUGGGUUAAGUCCCGUAACGAGCGCAACCCUUGUCCUUAGUUACCAGCACGUUAUGGUGGGCACUCUAAGGAGACUGCCGGUGACAAACCGGAGGAAGGUGGGGAUGACGUCAAGUCAUCAUGGCCCUUACGGCCUGGGCUACACACGUGCUACAAUGGUCGGUACAAAGGGUUGCCAAGCCGCGAGGUGGAGCUAAUCCCAUAAAACCGAUCGUAGUCCGGAUCGCAGUCUGCAACUCGACUGCGUGAAGUCGGAAUCGCUAGUAAUCGUGAAUCAGAAUGUCACGGUGAAUACGUUCCCGGGCCUU
rnacentral:rRNA from 1 species